ensembl:lncRNA
GCUCAUCGGAGUAGGGAAUGUGAGUAGGGAAUGUGAGUAGGGAAUGUGUGGAGGGAAUGUGAGUAGGGAAUGUGAGUAGGGAAUGUGAGUUGGGAAUGUGAGAAUGUGAGUAGGGAAUGUGAGUAGGGAAUGUGAGAAGGGAAUGUGAGAAUGUGAGUAGGGAAUGUGAGUAGGGAAUGUGAGAAUGUGAGUAGGGAAUGUGAGUAGGGAAUGUGAGGAGGGAAUGUGAGAAUGUGAGUAGGGAAUGUGAUUGGGAAUGUGAUUAGGGAAUGUGAGUUGGGAAUGUGAGUAGGGAAUGUGAUUAGGGAAUGUGAGUAGGGAAUGUGAGAAUGUGAGUAGGGAAUGUGAGUUGGGAAUGUGAGUAGGGAAUGUGAGUAGGGAAUGUGAUUAGGGAAUGUGAGUUGGGAAUGUGAGUAGGGAAUGUGAUUAGGGAAUGUGAGUUGGGAAUGUGAGUAGGGAAUGUGAGUAGGGAAUGUGAGUUGGGAAUGUGAGUAGGGAAUGUGAGUUGGGAAUGUGAGUAGGGAAUGUGAGAAUGUGAGUAGGGAAUGUGAUUAGGGAAUGUGAGUAGGGAAUGUGGGAAUGUGAGGAGGGAAUGUGAGUAGGGAAUGUGAGAAUGUGAGUAGGGAAUGUGGGAAUGUGAGUAGGGAAUGUGAGUAGGGAAUGUGAGUAGGGAAUGUGAGUAGGGAAUGUGGGAAUGUGAGUUGGGAAUGUGGGAAUGUGAGUAGGGAAUGUGAGAAUGUGAGUAGGGAAUGUGAGUAGGGAAUGUGAGUAGGGAAUGUGAGAAUAAAAUGUGAGUUGGGAAUGUGAGUUGGGAAUGUGAGUAGGGAAUGUGAGGAGGGAAUGUGAGUAGGGAAUGUGAGUUGGGAAUGUUUGGAAGGAAUGUGAGUUGGGAAUGUGAGAAUGUGAGUAGGGAAUGUGAGUUGGGAAUGUGAGUUGGGAAUGUGAGAAUGUGAGUUGGGAAUGUGAGUAGGGAAUGUGAGUCGGGAAUGUGACUAGGGAAUGUGAGUUGGGAAUAUGAGUUGGGAAUGUGUUCAGU